UCCCUACGGGGGGCAGCAGUGGGGGAUAUUGGACAAUGGGGGGGAACCCUGAUCCAGCGACGCCGCGUGAGUGAAGAAGUAUUUCGGUAUGUAAAGCUCUGUCAGCAGGGAAGAAAGCAAUGACGGUACCUGACCAAAAAGCCCCGGCUAACUACGUGCCAGCAGCCGCGGUAAUACGUAGGGGGCAAGCGUUAUCCGGAAUUACUGGGAGUAAAGGUAGCGUAGACGGCUGUGCAAGUCUGACGUGAAAGGCGGGGGCCCAACGCCAGGACUGC
rnacentral:rRNA from 1 species